AUUGCCUCUCGGCCUUUUGGCUAAGAUCAAGCGUAGUAUGUUCUUAACAAUCUAAUAUCUGAUUCGUCCUCUACUUGAGGAAAAAUAUGUUAAAUGGAUUUUUGGAGCAGGGAGAUGGAAUAGGAGCUUGCUCUGUCCACUCUGCACAUGGAACUGGUACCACAAUACUUUUAGGAACAGUGCACAAAAA